rnacentral:rRNA from 1 species
CAGUCGCCGCGGUAAUGCGAAGGGUGCAAGCGUUAAUCGGAAUUACUGGGCGUAAAGCGUGCGUAGGCGGUUUGUUAAGUCUGUUGUGAAAUCCCCGGGCUCAACCUGGGAAUGGCAAUGGAUACUGGCAAGCUAGAGUGUGUCAGAGGAUGGUGGAAUUCCCGGUGUAGCGGUGAAGUGCGUAGAGAUCGGGAGGAACAUCAGUGGCGAAAGCGGCCAUCUGGGACAACACUGACGCUGAGGCACGAAAGCGUGGGGAGCAAACAGGAUUAGAUACCCCUGUAGUCCCUGUCUCUUAUAC